rnacentral:rRNA from 1 species
GAUGAACGCUGGCGGCGUGCCUAAUACAUGCAAGUCGAACGAAGGUAGCAAUACCUUAGUGGCGAACGGGUGAGUAACACGUAGGUAACCUGCCUUUCAGUUGGGGAUAACCGAGGGAAACUUUGGCUAAUACCGAAUUCGUGCUUCGAAGGCAUCUUGGAGCAUAAAAGGGGCCUUUAAAGCCUCGCUGAUUGAUGGACCUGCGGCGCAUUAGUUAGUUGGUGAGAUAACAGCCCACCAAGACGAGGAUGCGUAGCCGACCUGAGAGGGUGAACGGCCACACUGGAACUGAGACACGGUCCAGACUCCUACGGGAGGCAGCAGUAGGGAGUUUUCGGCAAUGGGGGAAACCCUGACCGAGCAACGCCGCGUGAGUGAUGAAGGUCUUCGGAUUGUAAAGCUCUGUUAUAAGGGAAGAACGGCAGCUAGAGGAAAUGCUAGCUGUUUGACGGUACUUUAUGAGAAAGCCACGGCUAACUACGUG